rfam:Anopheles epiroticus strain epiroticus2 unplaced genomic scaffold supercont1.300, whole genome shotgun sequence.
AAAACGGCCCUUUUCAGGGCCACCAUCUCUGUUGAGCAUUAAGAA